CGACCCUUCGAGGAGCGCAACGAAGACGGCGAGGAAGAAGCCGGCGUGGAUGCUCGGCGAAGCAGCAGCAGCAGCAGCAAGAGAGAGAGAGAGAGAGAGAGAGAGAGAGAGAUCGGACUGACAAGGGAGUGAAGUGAGGUGAGGUGGGCAAGGGAGGAUGGAGAGGGAGAGAGAGCGAGGGCGUUGUAGGGAGAGGAAGCAAGCAUCUGAGUGAGUGAGUGAGUAAGUGAGUGAUGCGCCGAGAAAUAUUCUGACCCAGCUCCGAUGCCCCAUUCUCCGCUAUUCUUUUUGCUAUUCCUCUACUCUCUCCACUGCGACAUGCUGCUACAUGACGGGCCACGUUGCACAGUGGAACUCACCACGUGGGCUUCACGGCGCUUGCGUGCGUCGCUGCGUUGAGGAUCGGGCUUGUCUGCUCUAUGUCGCAUGCUCUUCCUUCCAAUCGUCGCUGCUCCCUUCCCAUCCCCUUCCCUCUCGGGUACCCAUUUCCUCUUUCUCGCAGUUGCCUCGCAAUUCUUCCGUUUCAAAGCUCGCUUGCUUGCUUGGAAUCUCUGGAGCUUAUCGGCUAUCCUUGACACAGCAUCCCUACCAACAAUUCCAGGUGUGGAUUCGACGUCCUGCCAUGUAGGCAGAUUCUGAGGUCACACUCAAGGUCGCAACUAGCUCGAUUUUUGAUGAAAGAGGGGGUGGCGUAUGGACGCUGCAUGUCGCAGGGCCACUCUCUUUCAGUCUGUCAAGAAUGGAAGUGUGCUGGGAAACGAUGGAAGAUUCAGUUGCACUUUCGUCACGCCAUAGCGCAAGCGUGAUCCAAACCCGAGAAGAAACUGUAGAGACCCUGUGGACGGUGCACCCCAAAAGUGCUCUCGGUUUUUUAGUACCCUGAAGCUCAACCAAUAUUUUUUUUUUUUCCCAAAGGAAUAAAUGUUCCAGAUCCCUCCUUUUUUGAGAUUUAACACCUGUCUCUAUUCUCAAGGCUCCUCUGAUGGCAUGAGCACUUUCUCAAUGGCAGUGUCGCAUUUUGCUAGCACUUUUUGCAACCGAACCGCCACCGUUUUGAUACCCCAUCAACCACAUCGUCCAGGGUGCAAUGCUAAGAUCAUUCUUCAGUUAAAAUAUAAAUCCCAGAUCGCAUAACUUGGACCAGUUUUUUGGCGUUUCGUUCAUGGGCGACGAAUCAUUACCCGGCGCUACAACCGUGUUUACGAGGGCCUGUCCGUGGGUUUUGUUCAAAUGUACUUUUAAUGCGUUGGCGAAGACUACUAGAUUUGUACACGGGACGCCUUUAUCUCACAAAGUCGUCAGUACGAAACAGACGACACGGGGGAGCCCAUCCGUGCAGUUGGCUGAACGAGGCAUCAGUGAGUGGCACACGACACAUGAAUAUUAAUGAAGAAGUUGUGCUCGACACACGCUCAAUCGAUGUUAAAUACAUACCCUGUGUGUCGUCCAACAUCAGUCUAGUGUGGAUCUGAACACUCGCAGCUUGAUGGUGAUGGUGGUGCUGUAAAGCUCCGCAGAUGGAUCGGCGAUCCUGAAGCAGCUCAUUCGACAGGCUUCACCACAAUAUCGACUGCUUGUAAACUGAUCGUUCCACAUUUUCUGAUGCAAACACAGAAACACGAUGAAAUAUUGACGUUGUGAAUCAGAUUCACCGCAUGUUACAACAGAAUUUUCAUCUCAUCACGUUUUUUUUUUGCAGUGCGACGUGAUCGAUGGUCGUCUGAGCCGGAUGGUGAGGAGUUUGAUGAUAUGUUGUUAUUAUUUCUUUAACUGGUGAAAUUUUCAGUGAUAGUAAAAGGAAGUGAACAUCA